GUGCACCCUAUUAAAAAAAUUGUGAAAAAACUCCCCUCACAUUUUUUGUUUACAUGUUCACACUUUUUUGCCUCGAUAAAAAAGAUGUGAAACACGUGUAGUACAAGCGCUUUGAGGGUCGAAUGCCGCCACCGAAAACGUACGCGUGCGUCAUCUAUCGGAUAGAUAGAAUACGUAGUGAUUGUGGUCGGUAUUGUCAAUGUCUUCUUAAUAGUGUAACCAGUAUUGACAAUAACAUAUGGGAGAUUAUGACAGUAAACUACAGUAGUAUCAAAGAUCCGCACGUGGUGGUUCCGAGAUUUCUUUUUGCGUAAUAUUAGGUUAUAUUAGUAUCAGACUCGAUUGAGCCAUGAGGGAACAAGAAUUGAAGUCAAAGGCAUUUAAACAUGCUGAAAACUGUUUGCUGAAUAAAAUGAGUAAUGCAUUUUUGAAAAAUUAUCCACAUCAUAUAAUGCCGGGUUAUAAUUUAAACAAAACGCCAUGUAUUGAGAACUGGGAUGAGGAGAGUGCUAUGGGACUCUAUCAAGACUUUCCAUAUAAUUGUGAUUUACCAAAACCAUUAUUACCACCUGCAAAGUUAUCAAGAACAGG